AGCAGUCGCCACGGUAACACGUAGGGUGCAAGCGUUAAUCGGAAUUACUGGGCGUAAAGCGUGCGCAGGCGGUUGUGUAAGACAGGUGUGAAAUCCCCGGGCUUAACCUGGGAACUGCGCUUGUGACUGCACAGCUAGAGUAUGGCAGAGGGGGGUGGAAUUCCACGUGUAGCAGUGAAAUGCGUAGAGAUGUGGAGGAACACCGAUGGCGAAGGCAGCCCCCUGGGCCAAUACUGACGCUCAUGCACGAAAGCGUGGGGAGCAAACAGGAUUAGAUACCCGAGUAGUCCCUGUCUCUUAUAU
rnacentral:rRNA from 1 species